rnacentral:rRNA from 1 species
GACGAACGCUGGCGGCGUGCCUAAUACAUGCAAGUCGAGCGCAGGAAAUCGACGGAACCCUUCGGGGGGAAGUCGACGGAAUGAGCGGCGGACGGGUGAGUAACACGUAAAGAACCUGCCCUCAGGUCUGGGAUAACCACGAGAAAUCGGGGCUAAUACCGGAUGGGUCAUCGGACCGCAUGGUCCGAGGAUGAAAGGCGCUUCGGCGUCGCCUGGGGAUGGCUUUGCGGUGCAUUAGCUAGUUGGUGGGGUAAUGGCCCACCAAGGCGACGAGGCAUAGCCGACCUGAGAGGGUGAUCGGCCACACUGGGACUGAGACACGGCCCAGACUCCUACGGGAGGCAGCAGUAGGGAAUCUUCCUCAAUGGACGAAAGUCUGAUGGAGCAACGCCGCGUGAACGAUGAAGGCCUUCGGGUCGUAAAGUUCUGUUGUAAGGGAAGAACAAGUGCCGCAGGCAAUGGCGGCACCUUGACGGUACCUUGCGAGAAAGCCACGGCUAACUACGUGCCAGCCGCCGCAGUAA